GGGCUCGUAGCUCAGUUGGUUAGAGCGCAUGCUCGACACGCAUGAGGUCAACAGUUCAAGUCUGUUCGAGCCCACCA
rnacentral:tRNA from 1 species